rnacentral:lncRNA from 1 species
UUUGUCCAAGAUGACAAGAACCUGGACACCCUCCACCGGUGACAUAUUUUGGUGAGCCAGCCAGGAGGAAAAGUCUUUCAGACGCUGAUUCCUGGUAGCUCAUCGGAAAUUGAGGACAAUUGGCUGGGGUCACUCCCAGGUACUGCAUGAAGGUCUAGGAAUGAAUGCGAAUAAUUGCCCGGCCCAAAAAGGGGAAGGACUUUUUAAAAAAUCUUUUCUGCAUGAUCCCUGAUCCCUACCUGCAGGGCAGCUCAGAGCAAACUCAAACAUGUUUCAGGACAAAGAGAAGUGGAAAACAGGUCUGUUACGUGCACUUAUGGGGUGUACUCUUAUUUGUGAAGAACUUUGCAGCCAGCCUUAUACAUGGAUAAGCUUACACUUUGAUAGAUAAAAGACGAAGGCCCAAUGUAGAGACCAUCGACAUUCAGAUGACCAUGCAACAAAGGUUCCAGCCAGUUCCAGAUGAAGACACCACCCCUGGCCAUCAAGAAGCUAACCCGCCUCCACCAGACAGAGCAGGGUGAGAGUUUCGUGAUCCCUAAUAGGAAGAGACUACGCCCGAAGCCAGCAUGAAGCAGUUACAGAAAAAAGACUAUCGGUUCCUCUGCCUCCCAUAAAGAUUUAUGGGAAUGACAUCUCUCAGUGGGGAAUGGGCAGGAAAAUAGGGUCUGGAGGCAAGGAACUUAAGGUCCAUAAAUAAUUUAGCUAUGUCAAGAAAUAUCCUCUCCACAAGGCGUACGCCGAGUAAAUGACUUUGUAACUUUACUUCAUCCUCU